rnacentral:rRNA from 1 species
AAUCUGCCUGGUAGUGGGGGACAACGUUUCGAAAGGAACGCUAAUACCGCAUACGUCUACGGGAGAAAGCAGGGGACCUUCGGGCCUUGCGCUAUCAGAUGAGCCUAGGUCGGAUUAGCUAGUAGGUGAGGUAAUGGCUCACCUAGGCGACGAUCCGUAACUGGUCUGAGAGGAUGAUCAGUCACACUGGAACUGAGACACGGUCCAGACUCCUACGGGAGGCAGCAGUGGGGAAUAUUGGACAAUGGGCGAAAGCCUGAUCCAGCCAUGCCGCGUGUGUGAAGAAGGUCUUCGGAUUGUAAAGCACUUUAAGUUGGGAGGAAGGGCAGUAAGUUAAUACCUUGCUGUUUUGACGUUACCAACAGAAUAAGCACCGGCUAACUUCGUGCCAGCAGCCGCGGUAAUACGAAGGGUGCAAGCGUUAAUCGGAAUUACUGGGCGUAAAGCGCGCGUAGGUGGUUCAGCAAGUUGGAGGUGAAAUCCCCGGGCUCAACCUGGGAACUGCCUCCAAAACUACUGAGCUAGAGUACGGUAGAGGGUAGUGGAAUUUCCUGUGUAGCGGUGAAAUGCGUAGAUAUAGGAAGGAACACCAGUGGCGAAGGCGACUACCUGGACUGAUA